UACGAAGGGGGCUAGCGUUGCUCGGAAUCACUGGGCGUAAAGGGUGCGUAGGCGGGUCUUUAAGUCAGGGGUGAAAUCCUGGAGCUCAACUCCAGAACUGCCUUUGAUACUGAAGAUCUUGAGUUCGGGAGAGGUGAGUGGAACUGCGAGUGUAGAGGUGAAAUUCGUAGAUAUUCGCAAGAACACCAGUGGCGAAGGCGGACUCACUGGCCCGAUACUGACGCUG
rnacentral:rRNA from 1 species